rnacentral:rRNA from 1 species
GGGCCCGCACAAGCGGUGGAGCAUGUGGUUUAAUUCGAUGAUACGCGAGGAACCUUACCAGGGCUUAAAUGUAAGUUGCAUAGAUCAGAGAUGGUCUUUUCUUCGGACUACUUACAAGGUGCUGCAUGGUUGUCGUCAGCUCGUGCCGUGAGGUGUCAGGUUAAGUCCUAUAACGAGCGCAACCCCUGUCGUUAGUUACCAGCAAGUAAUGUUGGGUACUCUAGCGAGACUGCCGGUGCAAACCGUGAGGAAGGUGGGGAUGACGUCAAAUCAUCACGGCCCUUACGUCCUGGCUACACACGUGCUACAAUGGCCGGUACAGAGAGCAGCCACUACGCGAGUAGGAGCGAA